rnacentral:rRNA from 1 species
GAGUUUGAUCAUGGCUCAGGAUGAACGCUAGCGGCGGGCUUAAUACAUGCAAGUCGAGGGGUGGUAGCAAUACUACACCGGCGCACGGGUGCGUAACGCGUAUGCAACCUACCUUUAUCUGGGGGAUAGCCCGGGGAAACCCGGAUUAAUACCGCAUAAGUAAGUAACUAGGCAUCUAGUAGCUUUGAAAGAUUUAUCGGAUAAAGAUGGGCAUGCGUAAGAUUAGAUAGUUGGCGAGGUAACGGCUCACCAAGUCUACGAUCUUUAGGGCUCUGAGAGGAGAAUCCCCCACACUGGCACUGAGAUACGGGCCAGACUCCUACGGGAGGCAGCAGUAGGGAAUAUUGGGCAAUGGACGCAAGUCUGACCCAGCCAC